rnacentral:rRNA from 1 species
UUGGAGGGCAAGUCUGGUGCCAGCAGCCGCGGUAAUUCCAGCUCCAAUAGCGUAUAUUAAAGUUGUUGCAGUUAAAAAGCUCGUAGUUGAAUUUCGGGGUUAGUAGGUUGGUCAUGCCUCUGGUAUGUACUGGUCUCACUGAUUCCUCCUUCCUGAUGAGCCGUAAUGCCAUUAAUUUGGUGUUGCGGAGUAGUCUGGUACUUGUAAACUUUGAAAAUUAGUAAGUGUUAAAGC